rnacentral:rRNA from 1 species
UACGGAGGAUGCAAGCGUUAUCCGGAAUUAUUGGGCGUAAAGCGUCCGCAGGUGGCACUUCAAGUCUGCUGUCAAAGACUGGGGCUUAACCCCGGAAAGGCGGUGGAAACUGAAGCGCUAGAGUGCGGUAGGGGUAGAGGGAAUUCCCGGUGUAGCGGUGAAAUGCGUAGAGAUCGGGAAGAACAUCGGUGGCGAAAGCGCUCUACUGGACCGCAACUGACACUCAGGGACGAAAGCUAGGGGAGCGAAUGGG